rnacentral:rRNA from 1 species
GAGUGUGUAACAACUCACCUGCCGAAGGUACUAGCCCUGAAAAUGGAUGGCGCUCAAGCGGACCACCGAUGCGCGGCCGCCGGCGCGAGCGCGAGGCGCCGGCGAGUAGGAGGGCGCGGGGCUCGCGGCGCAGCCUUGGGCGCGAGCCUGGGUGAAGCGGGCCCCGGUGCAGAUCUUGGUGGUAGUAGCAAAUAUUCAAAUGAGAACUUUGAAGACUGAAGUGGAGAAAGGUUCCGUGUGAACAGCAGUUGGACACGGGUGAGCCGACCCUAAGAGACAGGAAAACUCCGCCGAACGCGGCUGGUUCUGUCAGCCCGUCCGUCGAAAGGGAAUCGGGUUAAUAUUCCCGAGCCAGCGCGUGGAUGGUGGGCGGCGACGCGAACGAACCCGGAGACGCCGGCGGGAGCCCUGGGAAGAGUUCUCUUUUCUUCUUAACUGCCUCCUGCCCUGGAAUCGGUUUAGCCGGAGCGAGGGCUACACGGCAGGCAAAGCACCCUAAGUCUUGGGGUGUCCGGCGCGCUCCCGACGGCCCGUGAAAAUCCGGGGGAGCGGUUCGUUCUCACGCCUGGUCGUACUCAUAACCGCAUCAGGUCUCCAAGGUGAACAGCCUCUAGUCGAUAGAGCAAUGUAGGUAAGGGAAGUCGGCAAAAUGGUUCCGCAACCUCGGGAGAAGGAAUGGCUCUGAAGGCUGGGCGCAGGGGUCCUAGGCUCGAGGCCGGCUGGCUGCGCGGGGACUACGGCCUCACGGCUGCGGAUCCCGCGCGGCCGUCCGGCGGACGGCCUAGGAGCGCUCCGGCUCUCCCUGCGCGACGAACAGCCGCUUCAGAACUGGCGCGGACAAGGGGAAUCCGACUGUUUAAUUAAAACAAAGCAUUGCGAUGGCCCGCGAGGGUGCUGACGCAAUGUGAUUUCUGCCCAGUGCUCUGAAUGUCAAAGUGAAGAAAUUCAACCAAGCGCGGGUAAACGGCGGGAGUAACUAUGACUCUCUUAAGGUAGCCAAAUGCCUCGUCAUCCAAUUAGUGACGCGCAUGAAUGGAUUCGUGAGAUUCCCACUGUCCCUAUCUACUGUCUAGCGAAGCCACAGCCAAGGGAACGGGCUUGGAAGAAUCAGCGGGGAAAGAAGCCCUGUUGAGCUUGACUCUAGUCUGUUACUGUGGAACGACUUGAUGGGUGUAGAAUAUGCGGGAGGGGCAACCCGACAGUGAAAUACCGCAACCGUCAACGUUGUUUUACUUACUCGGUGGCGCGGAGGGAGGCUCGCCUCACUUCUGGAUCCAAGCCGCUUCGUGCGCGCGAUCCGCGUCGGGGACACUAACAGGUGGGGAGUUUGGCUGGGGCGGCACGUCUGUUAAAAAAUAACGCAGGCGCCCGAUUUUGAGCUCAAUGAGAACAGAAAUCUCAUGUAGAACAAAAGGGUAAAAGCUGACUUGAUUUUGAUUUUCAGUAAGAAUACAAACCGAGAAAUCGUGGCCUAUCGAUCCUUU